rnacentral:rRNA from 1 species
AAAUUGAAGAGUUUGAUCAUGGCUCAGAUUGAACGCUGGCGGCAGGCCUAACACAUGCAAGUCGAACGGUAACAGGAAGCAGCUUGCUGCUUCGCUGACGAGUGGCGGACGGGUGAGUAAUGUCUGGGAAACUGCCUGAUGGAGGGGGGUAACUACUGGAAA